AUUGAACGCUGGCGGCAGGCUUAACACAUGCAAGUCGAGCGGGGUGAUGGUGCUUGCACUAUCACUUAGCGGCGGACGGGUGAGUAAUGCUUAGGAAUCUGCCUAUUAGUGGGGGACAACAUCUCGAAAGGGAUGCUAAUACCGCAUACGUCCUACGGGAGAAAGCAGGGGAUCACUUGUGACCUUGCGCUAAUGGAUGAGCCUAAGUCGGAUUAGCUAGUUGGUGGGGUAAAGGCCUACAAAGGCGACGAUCUGUAGCGGGUCUGAGAGGAUUAUCCGCCACACUGGGACUGAGACACGGCCCAGACUCCUACGGGAGGCAGCAGUGGGGAAUAUUGGACAAUGGGGGGAACCCUGAUCCAGCCAUGCCGCGUGUGUGAAGAAGGCCUUAUGGUUGUAAAGCACUUUAAGCGAGGAGGAGGCUCUUUUGGUUAAUACCCAAGAUGAGUGGACGUUACUCGCAGAAUAAGCACCGGCUAACUCUGUGCCAGCCGCCGCGGUAA
rnacentral:rRNA from 1 species